GAUGAACGCUGACAGAAUGCUUAACACAUGCAAGUCGAUGGGGAAGUGGUGCUUGCACCCUGGCAACCAUGGCGGACGGGUGAGUAACGCGUAAGGGACUUACCUGCAGGACUGGGAUAACAGGGGGAAACUCCUGACAAGACCGGAUAAUGUCAUGGAGCUGCAUGGCUUUAUGAUGAAAGGAGACGCCUGCGGAGAGCCUUGCGUCCUAUUAGCUAGUUGGUGAGGUAAUGGCUCACCAAGGCGAAGAUAGGUAGCCGGCCUGAGAGGGUGGACGGCCACAAGGGGACUGAGAUACGGCCCUUACUCCUACGGGAGGCAGCAGUGGGGAAUAUUGGACAAUGGGGGCAACCCUGAUCAAGCAAUUCUGUGUGCACGAAGAAGGUUUUCGGAUUGUAAAGUGCUUUCAGCAGGGAAGAAGUAAGUGACGGUACCUGCAGAAGAAGCGACGGCUAAAUACGUG
rnacentral:rRNA from 1 species